rnacentral:tRNA from 1 species
GACAAGGUGGACAAGUGGUGAAGGUGAUGGACUGCUAAUCCACUGUGCUCUGCACGCGUGAUUUUGAAUCCCACCCUUGUUG